UGGCUAUAACAAAGAGAAGCGAAGCAGUGAUGUGGAGCAAAACUCAAAAAAAUAAGUCUCAGUUCGGAUUGAAGGCUGAAAUUCGCCUUCAUGAAGCCGGAAUUGCUAGUAAUGGCAGGUCAGCAUACUGCCGUGAAUACGUUCCCGGGCCUUGUACACACCGCCCGUCACACCAUGAGAGUCGGGAACACCCGAAGUCCGUAGUCUAACCGCAAGGGGGGCGCGGCCGAAGGUGGGUCCGGUAAUUGGGGUGAAGUCGUAACAAGGUACC
rnacentral:rRNA from 1 species